rnacentral:rRNA from 1 species
AUUGAACGCUGGCGGCAGGCCUAACACAUGCAAGUCGAGCGGAUGAAGGGGGCUUGCUCCUGGAUUCAGCGGCGGACGGGUGAGUAAUGCCUAGGAAUCUGCCUGGCAGUUGGGGAUAACGUCCGGAAACGGGCCCUAAUACCGCAUCCGUCCUGAUGGAGAAAGUGGGGGAUCUUCGGACCUCACGCUAUCAGAUGUGCCUAGGUCGGAUUAGCUAGUUGGUGGGGUAAAGGCCUACCAAGGCGACGAUCCGUAACUGGUCUGAGAGGAUGAUCAGUCACACUGGAACUGAGACACGGUCCAGACUCCUACGGGAGGCAGCAGUGGGGAAUAUUGGACAAUGGGCGAAAGCCUGAUCCAGCCAUGCCGCGUGUGUGAAGAAGGUCUUCGGAUUGUAAAGCACUUUAAGUUGGGAGGAAGGGCAGUAAGUUAAUACCUUGCUGUUUUGACGUUACCAACAGAAUAAGCACCGGCUAACUUCGUG